rnacentral:rRNA from 1 species
AUUGCUUUACUUCCCAGGUUUAAAAACUACAUGGAUCCCAUCAGAACUCCACAGUUUAGCGUGCUUGGGCUAGAGUAGUAAUAGGAUGGGUGACCUCCCGGGAAUUCCUAUUGUUGCACCC